ensembl:lncRNA uncharacterized LOC111177082
CUCCUACCCACCCGCCCGCCCCGCCCCGCCCACCAGCUGCAGCCCCCAGUCCCCAGGGGUCCACGAGCGCCGGGGUCCCAGGACCUUUAACCUCUGCUGGCUACCUGGGCCGUGGCCUCCGACGCAGGCGACCCACCUUCCAGGCGAGGAGCGCGGGUCAGGGAACUCUGGGCUGGGGUGCGGGCUUGAGAAAUCAGGGAAACGAUUUGAGGGAAAAACUUUAUUGUUUCUAGAAGAGCCUCGAAGCAAUCACCGGAUGGGAAACCAGCUGGACGUCGUACUUACUUUCCGGGAGUCUGCAUGCUGACCGUAUUGUUGGCCAGCCUCGUGAGUGUAAGCUCUCUGACCACAUUCUGGAUUGUUACAGCACCAGUGCCAGCUCGACUGCCGACUCCCAAGCUGGCACCACUGUCAGUGCCAGAUCUUGUACCAGUGCUAGUGCCAGAUCUGGUAUUAAAGGCAUUUCUGGUACCAGCCCGACAGCUAGAGGUAGCACCAGCUCCAGAGCCAGAGCCAGCUCCAAGCACCAGCUCCUGCAGCGUUCCAGAGCUGGAGCUGGCUCCAGGGCCACCUCCAGAUUUAGAGCCAGUGCCAGGUGCAGAAUGAGAGCCGGCUCUAUCACUAGAUCUAGAGUCAAGUCCAGUGAGAGAACUAGUUCCAACAUUGGCUCAUGGAAAAGCCCUCAAACUCCAGUGAGCUCCGCAACUGGCUCUAGCACCAGCUCCAGGGCUGGAACCAGCUUUGGCACCAGCUGUCUCACCAGCUGCAGGGAUGGAAGCAGCUCUGUCAUCAACCAAUUUGCCAGCUCCCGCAGCAGCUCUAGAGUUUGGAUCAGACCCAACACAAAGUCCAGAGUGACAGAUAACAACAGGAAGUGAACUCGAGUCUACCCCAGCACCACCUCUGGCAACACAGAGCUACAGGCAGCUCUAGAGGUAGAGCUCUCUCUAGAGCUAGUGUCAGCACCAGAGCUAGCUCGAGCAUUAGCUCCUGAGCUAGAGAGAGCUCCACUGCCAGUUCCAGGGCGAGAGCCAGCUCCAAGCACCAGCUCAAGAGCGCGAGUGAUAUCUGGAGCCAGCUCCAGCCAAAGCUCUAGACUCGGUGUCAGUUCCAGCACCCGCUUCAGCACUGAUCCAUUGCCGGAGCCAGUUCUAUUACCACUAAUAGUUCUGGCUGUCCAGAACUAGAGCCAGAGCUGGCUGCAGAGCCAGAGUCAGCUCCAGCACCAGAGUUCGAGCCAGCGCCAUGGCGACAGUCAACUCAGGCUCCAACACUGGCAUCAACUCCUGAGAUAGAGGCAGCUCCAGCCUCAGCUCCGUUGCUGCUCCUGGGUGGGGCUGCUGUUAUCCCACGAGCUGGAGCUGGCUUGAACACCAGCUGUCAUGUCAGCUCUACCUCUGGAAGAUAGAGACGGCUCUAUCACUGACUCCCGUGCCAGCCCCAGUGAUAGACUGAGAACCAGCUCAAAGCCAGUUUAGAGCCAGUGCUAGGUGCCAAGGAAGAGGUCGCUCCAGCUCCAGCUCUAGCAUCAGCCCCAGAAUUACAGCCAUUCCUGGCACCAGCUCCAGAGAGAGAGUCAGCACCAAGUUCAGAGCUAGAGCCUGCUCCAGCCACAGUUCUAGGACCAACUCCAGAGCCAGAGCCCCCAUGAGAGUCAGCUCCUGCAGCAGCUCCAGAGCAAGAGCUGGCUUGGGUGCCAGUAGCAGACUUAGAGCCAGUGCCAGCUCAGGAGAAAGAGCCAGCUCCAGCACCAACGUCAGAGCUAGAUCGUGCUCUGGCACCAGCAUGAUGCCAUUUCAGAGAUAGAGGCAGCUCUAUCACCAGCUCCUAGGCCAGAUUCUGUGCCUGCUCUAGUGCCAGAAUCUGCCCUGACACCAAUUUCAGAGGUGGAACCAGUGCCAGAGCUCCACCACCGGUUUUAGCACCAGCCACAGAGCUAGAGCCAGGACUGGCUGUACAGCUAGAGGCACAAGAAGCAGAUCCAGCACCAGACCGGAGUUGGAGUCAGCCGCAAAGUCAGCGAGAGCUCCAGCACCAGGGACAGCUCCUGCGUCCUAUCCACAGCAAAAUCCACAGCUGCUUCCGGCACCUGCUGUAACCUUAGCUCCGGAGGUACAGCCGGCUCCAGGACCUGAUCCACAGCUCAAGCCAAACCAGUACCCACUCAGGAGUCAGCUUCAGUGGCCGCUCCAGAGCCAGAGCCAGAGCCAGCGACCGCAAUAGCUGUAGCACCGGCUCCAGUGCCAGUGUGAGAGACAGCUCGAGAGCGCUGUCCAACUGCAGAACCAGGUCUAGACCGUCUCUGGAGGUAGAUCCGCCUCCAGCGCCUUCCCCAGAGCUAGAGCCAAGUCCAGCAUCAGCUCUUGCAUAAGCUCCAGUGCCAGUCCUAGGAGCAGAGCCGCCUUUGAACUAGAGCCAGCUCUGUACCAGCUCUAGAACUGGGCGGGGCUGGGGGCGGGGCUGAGGGCGGGACAGUCCCUUCUGGGCAGGUCACUCCCAGGGCCUCCUCCUCCUCCCUCCCUGAGGUCCCGGCCCUCGGGUCCUCUGAGGCCCCGCUUUCUCAAGCGAGGCUCAAAGUGGGCAGAGACCGCUCUGUUGGAAACUGUGGCCAGUACCUUAAAAACUGUAUAUGUUUUGACCCAGAAAAUCCACCUCAUGGAUUCUGCCCUAAAUAGAGAUUUAUGGACGCAGAUGUUCCCUUCAGCAUGAUUCUGAGAGUGAAAAAUGGCAAGUGGCCCAUGUCCCAUAGCAGGGGCUUUUCGGAAGUUCUGAUCCGGGGCCCCAGAAAAUGCGGAGGAGGAAGACGAUGAACUGAUCAGCACCCGCCCGGGGGAACAGGUUCCAGAAGGGCACACGUGCCCAGAGUCCUCCCCACCUGACACCCACAACUGCACACGCACACACGUGCACAUGGGCACACACACCAUGCGAGAAUUCCUGUGGGUAAACUCCUGGGAUUAGCUCUGCAGGUAAGGGGUUGCACCUGUGGAGCUUUGGGGUCCUGUGCACUGUUCUCCCAGAGAGGAGUGUCCUUCCACGCUUCCCUCUAGAGGACCUGCUGGGCCUCUGCUUCCUCACACUGUCCCCAGGGCUGGUCGCCACCAGACUAGAAACCUGUCGGUGUGGUGUUGACAGCGCCGUCUCCACGGCGUUUACAUCUGCGUGUCCUCAUUGGGAGGUCAAGCGUCUCUGACUUGUACUGACCACGUGUGUGGCCUCUUGUUGGAACUGCACGUGUUUGUUCUCUGUCCCUUUUUAAAACAUUGCCUUUCAAGAUCUGGGGGACCACAGGGGUGUCAAACCUUUCUCUGGCCCUGGGAUGUGAGGAAUGCUGUUCGAGUUUGUGGUUUGUCUUCCCAGCUUUCUACAUGUUUCUUGUUUCUGUUUGGCCAUGGGAAGAGCCAGGCGUUUCCCUUCUGUCUUCUGUCUCUGGGGCCAUACUCAGAACAGGGGUCUCUACCCUGAGACUGCACACAUAUUUACAAAAAAGACUUCAAUUUGUACAUCGCAUCUUUAAUCCAUCUGGCGUUUCCCUUUCAUAUAAUAAAAAUGCUAUUUUAAAGUAAAAAAAGAAAACAAAAAUUAACUACUCCCCUCUUAAAAUAUGUGGCCUACACAGAAAGCCACCUUGUAUAAUUCCAUUUAUAGGAAA